GACGAACGCUGGCGGCGUGCUUAACACAUGCAAGUCGAACGGUUAGGCCCUUCGGGGUACACGAGUGGCGAACGGGUGAGUAACACGUGGGUGAUCUGCCCUGCACUUCGGGAUAAGCCUGGGAAACUGGGUCUAAUACCGGAUAGGACCCUGGGAUGCAUGUCCUGGGGUGGGAAGCUUUUGCGGUGUGGGAUGGGCCCGCGGCCUUUCAGCUUGUUGGUGGGGUGAUGGCCUACCAAGGCGACGACGGGUAGCCGGCCUGAGAGGGUGACCGGCCACACUGGGACUGAGAUACGGCCCAGACUCCUACGGGAGGCAGCAGUGGGGAAUAUUGCACAAUGGGCGCAAGCCUGAUGCAGCGACGCCGCGUGAGGGAUGACGGCCUUCGGGUUGUAAACCUCUUUCAGCACUGACGAAGCGCAAGUGACGGUAGGUGCAGAAGAAGGACCGGCCAACUACGUGCCAGCCGCCGCGGUAA
rnacentral:rRNA from 1 species